GCAGGGACACCUGCUGGAUAGGGAUGUGCGAACCUCGAGCUGAACCUAGAGCCGGUUCGGAGUUCUAACAGCGUGAUCACCUGCUAAUAUCCACACAUCAUGUUGCUGUUCUUUACCUGUUGAAACACUACUUUGAAAACAUAUCCCAAUAUGUCCAGAGAUGUCCAGCUUCUGGAUUGGCUGCAGCAGGACAGGGCAUAGGUCAGUCAAGUAAUGAAGGCAGAGUGAAGCCGGCUCAAGAUACUCUGUGAAGAGUGUAAUUUUGAUUGACAUGGUGCUACCAACUAGUGUGAAUUCUCCAACACUAGCAGGAUCUAAAUCAGGAUUUCGCCAAAAUAAUCAUGGUUAAUCUAAACAGAAGGCUUAAAAAGUGGUACCCCAGUGGCCUCAGUGACCCCAACAUCAAGACUAGUCAACCCCACCUGUUCUGUGCAGUUUACCUUCUCUUCCUGCCAUGCUUAAAAUUCCAACACUAUAUUCCUUCUUGGCUCUUUCCAUUUUACUUGAAUUAUGAACCUUCUAGAACCAUUUGGGCCAUGUUGCUUCUGUCUUCUGUAUCUACCGCCUAGGAGCACAGCCUGUUGAUGUUCAAUAAAAGUUGGACUCAAACAAGCAAGCAAGCACCAUCUUCAAGGUCCUGAGUACACAGCCUGGUAAUUCUGAAACCCCACAAUAAUAAACCUGCACACACUGCCCAGGACAUACUGGAGACCUGCACACACCACCCAGGGCAUAUUGUGGCUAC